UUUCCGUAGGUGAACCUGCGGAAGGAUCAUUAAACAUCGUUUCCUUACUUUGUGGUGACUCAGUGGUGUCAUUGCCUAAAAUCAAAGGAUUUUAAAGAAUUARAAGCAGUUAAUGGUGAUUCGUUUGUUAUUGCAUGGUUACGGUAUAAUGAUAUACCUUGAAGAAUAAAGAAUAAGGGUGGUGGCGCACCUAUUCUACAAGCAGAACUGGUUAAUAAGAUCGAUUCCGAGUGACGAUCGUGGGGCAAAAUAAAUCCAGCUUGGGGAACUGGUUAACCAUGGCAUUAUACGAGCAAGAUGAUUCCGAACGAGAUUCUUUUAACAUAGCAAUGAACACACGCUGUUUCAUGCGCAACCAAUCUGCCCUAUAAAAUUGGAGAGUGAUUAGAUUGCUCACCCACCGUCGUUUAGAUGGUUGACAUUAAAACGCUCAUUGGAGUGAACUGGUAGUCUUCCGAGCUAAAAUGGUAAUGGCUAGUCUCGGUAAGGUCUGACUAUCGGUUCGGCUACGGCCAGCUCAAUGUAGUAUCCGCUAUUACCGAAACAUACACUACAGUGGUUCGAUAGAGUUCCACACUCACUGCCUCUGCACCUUCGGGUGAACAGUCCGUAGUGCUUAGCGCCCCGUCAAAAGGGAAGAAGCUUUGGUUUAUUA
rnacentral:rRNA from 1 species